rnacentral:rRNA from 1 species
AUUGAACGCUGGCGGCAGGCCUUACACAUGCAAGUCGAGCGGAUGAGAGGAGCUUGCUCCUCGAUUCGGCGGCGGACGGGUGAGUAAUGCCUAGGAAUCUGCCUAGUAGUGGGGGACAACGUUUCGAAAGGAACGCUAAUACCGCAUACGUCCUACGGGAGAAAGUGGGGGAUCUUCGGACCUCACGCUAUUAGAUGAGCCUAGGUCGGAUUAGCUAUUUGGUAGGGUAAAGGCCUACCAAGGCGACGAUCCGUAACUGGUCUGAGAGGAUGAUCAGUCACACUGGAACUGAGACACGGUCCAGACUCCUACGGGAGGCAGCAGUGGGGAAUAUUGGACAAUGGGCGAAAGCCUGAUCCAGCCAUGCCGCGUGUGUGAAGAAGGCCUUCGGGUCGUAAAGCACUUUAAGUUGGGAGGAAGGGCUCAUAGCGAAUACCUGUGAGUUUUGACGUUACCAACAGAAUAAGCACCGGCUAACUUCGUGCCAGCAGCCGCCGUAA